rnacentral:tRNA from 2 species
AAGCUCUGAGGUGUUUUACAUAGUAGAUUGCAAAUCUGAAGAAGUAGGCUAACGCCUGCCGGGGCUU